ensembl:snoRNA small nucleolar RNA SNORA81
GCCUUCUCUCCAAAAGCACCCUGCUGGAACUGCAGGAGCCGGACCUCACUGGUUUAGCUCAUGUGGCCAUGUAAGCACGGGUACACCAGGGAAGGAGAACAAAGGCACAGGGUUGAAGAUGAGGCAUUGGGGGGACCUCUUUCUUAAUGUCCAGUGUCUUCUGCCUCAAGAUCCUGUGUCACAUGA